rnacentral:rRNA from 1 species
UGGGGAAUAUUGCACAAUGGGCGCAAGCCUGAUGCAGCCAUGCCGCGUGUAUGAAGAAGGCCUUCGGGUUGUAAAGUACUUUCAGCGGGGAGGAAGGCGAUAAGGUUAAUAACCUUGUCGAUUGACGUUACCCGCAGAAGAAGCGCCGGCUAACUCCGUGCCAGCAGCCGCGGUAAUACGGAGGGUGCAAGCGUUAAUCGGAAUUACUGGGCGUAAAGCGCACGCAGGCGGUCUGUCAAGUCGGAUGUGAAAUCCCCGGGCUCAACCUGGGAACUGCAUUCGAAACUGGCAGGCUAGAGUCUUGUAGAGGGGGGUAGAAUUCCAGGUGUAGCGGUGAAAUGCGUAGAGAUCUGGAGGAAUACCGGUGGCGAAGGCGGCCCCCUGGACAAAGACUGACGCUCAGGUGCGAAAGCGUGGGGAGCAAACA